rnacentral:rRNA from 1 species
UAGGGAAUAUUAGUAAUGGGCGAAAGCCUGAACUAGCAAUGCCGCGUGUGCGAAGAAGGCCUUCGGGUUGUAAAGCACUUUUUGAGAGGAUGAGGAAGGACGGUACUCUCAGAAUAAGUCUCGGCUAACUACGUGCCAGCAGCCGCGGUAACACGUAGGAGGCGAACGUUAUCCGGAUUUACUGGGCGUAAAGCGCGUGUAGGUGGUUUGGUAAGUAGGGCGUGAAAGCUCCUGGCUCAACUGGGAGAGGCCGUUCUAAACUGCCGAACAAGAGGAUGGUAGAGGGAGGUGAAUUCCGGGUGUAGCGGUGGAAUGCGCAGAUAUCCGGAGGAACACCAGUGGCGAAAGCGGCCUCCUGGACCACUCCUGACACUCAGACGCGAAAGCUAGGGUAGCAAACGG